UGAAAACUUUAUGAUAUUUAACAGUGUACUUAUUCUUGCUAUAUGCUGCUUGUAUUUGUUAUAGAAAAAGUGCAAUUCAAACAUGUGUAGCAACCUUCACUAUCAGAAUAAGCACUUCCAGGUAUAUGUGCAUGCAAUCAUCUUUUAUUUUUAUUUUUAAAGGGUAUCAGAAAUAGAAACAUGUCUGUAUAGAUGGAACACAUGCCUUGGACUGAGACCCUGAUGACAGGACUCUCUUGUUUUUAUUAAUCAGAAAGCCACUCUGGGAGCUUUUCAAGUGAAGAGCUAGAUGAUUUCAUCUCCCAAACUCAUUGCAAUAGGAUGGGGAUCCCAACAGGUUGGUGAUUCAUAUUGUGACUGACUGACACCAGUUUGGGGUUGUAGAGUGUUGGACCAUGAAGCUAGCUGGAUGACCACUAUCUCCUCAGCCUAACCUACUUCACAGGGUUGCUGUGAGUUUAAAAAGUGGAGGAAGAGAACAAUGAACACCAUACUGAGCUCCUUGUAGAAAUGGUAGAAUAUAAAUGUAAUUAAGUUUAAUAAUAUGCAUGGGAAGCUA